AGAUUGAACGCUGGCGGCAGGCCUAACACAUGCAAGUCGAGCGGCAGCACGGGUACUUGUACCUGGUGGCGAGCGGCGGACGGGUGAGUAAUGCCUAGGAAUCUGCCUGGUAGUGGGGGAUAACGCUCGGAAACGGACGCUAAUACCGCAUACGUCCUACGGGAGAAAGCAGGGGACCUUCGGGCCUUGCGCUAUCAGAUGAGCCUAGGUCGGAUUAGCUAGUUGGUGGGGUAAUGGCUCACCAAGGCGACGAUCCGUAACUGGUCUGAGAGGAUGAUCAGUCACACUGGAACUGAGACACGGUCCAGACUCCUACGGGAGGCAGCAGUGGGGAAUAUUGGACAAUGGGCGAAAGCCUGAUCCAGCCAUGCCGCGUGUGUGAAGAAGGUCUUCGGAUUGAAAGCACUUUAAGUUGGAGGAAGGCAGUUACCUAAUACGUAUCUGUUUGACGUUACGACAGAAUAAGCACCGGCUAACUCUGUGCCAGCACG
rnacentral:rRNA from 1 species